rnacentral:rRNA from 1 species
GACAGAGGGUGCAAACGUUGCUCGGAAUUACUGGGCGUAAAGCGCGUGUAGGCGGGCUGGAAAGUCGGGCGUGAAAUCCCCAGGCUCAACCUGGGAACUGCACUCGAAACUCCCAGUCUAGAGUGGUGGAGAGGGAAGUGGAAUUCCUGGUGUAGAGGUGAAAUUCGUAGAUAUCAGGAGGAACACCAGUGGCGAAGGCGGCUUCCUGGACACCAACUGACGCUGAGACGCGAAAGCGUGGGGAGCAAAC